AGUACCCUCUGGUGGCCAAUGUAAGAAGCGCGACACUUUGAAACAACAUGGCCGCGCCCAUGCUGACGGUCGCUUGUUGACUUGUUGACUACAGUUCAGCCACCAUGCAGCCUGGAGAAAUCGCCCACUGUGCUUUUCGACUUGAGAAAUUGCACGCAGACCAAAGCUGCGUUGACAUCUUAACUCUCGUCGGCGAGCUUGACAAGAGUGACGUCACUGCAGAGCACCUGGAGGGCAUCAGCAACGUUCUUUUCAAGAUUCUCAAAGGAUGCUCAGAUGGAGGUGUGAGGAAGGCGGUCAGAUGUUUGUUGUCCAAGUGGAAGAGGCAGUACAGAAAGACGAAGCACCCAUCAGGCGGGCGAUGUUCACUGCACCCUGUAGGUACCAAGAGUUUGGAUGAAGGAGAUCCUCACUCCUCUCCUCAUCCUCUGGAAGGAACUUCUGUAAGGUCCAAAUGUGUUCAGCUCCUCAUCUCUGCCCUCAGCCCUGAACCAUGUGACCUGGACAAGGCCACAGAGCUGGCCACAGAGGUGGAGCUGCACAUCCACCGACUCCACACGGCCAACCAGGUUAAAUACAAAGCCUGCAUGAGGAGCAAAGUCGCCAACUUGAAGAACCCUAAAAACAACCACCUUCGCCACGGCCUCAUGAGCAGCUCCUUGGCUCCCGAGGCUUUUGCCCGCAUGUCGGCCGAAGAGAUGGCCUGUGACGAGCUGCGGCGGUUGAGGGAGGAGUACUCGUCCCGCGGCGUGAGCGAGAGGCAGCUGCCACGUGGGGUGGAGGGGACGGAGACACAGAAGAUCCGCUGUGAGCGGUGUGGCGGUUCAAACUGUAGGGUGACACAAGUGAACCGGGGGACGCUAUUCCUGCCGGCCUGGGUGCGGCGGGCAGGCCCUGAUGAUGACGCAAUGACCUUUGUGACGUGCAGCGGGUGUGGGCAGCAGUGGUACCACAGUCGCUGGGGCUGCCUCUGAUAACUUCCAUCAGCGUAGCAUGGUGGAGCCUGGCACAGUCUGUAGUCAAGUGUAGCUUAGCGGAGAUGUUCAAAACUGCAACACAUGCAAAUUAGCAAGAGGCUGGGAUACCUGAACAUGAAAUGCUCAUGAGUCAGAGCUUUUCUUCCCGUCACUCACGCACACGUAGCUUGAGAUGCAGCUGUCCUACUUGUUAAAGUUUCUCAGUGUUUGGUAAAGUAAGCAAGUGUACUAAAUAUAUUAAUACUGAAAACAUGAUUUUCCAUAGAUCACAGCGGUAUGCUGGAGCCUAUCCCAGUUGACUGGCCAGAGGUGGGCAUGAGAUAACUCCCCUAUACUCAACUUUACAAUCAUAAUACCCAACAUGGUAGACAAAAUAAGAGUAAAUAGGCCAUUUAAGUCAUGUGCUUGUGUGUUGCUAUAAAUGUCUUCUCUAAGGGUUCCCAAGCAGUAGUACGCAUAUCACGAGUGGUACGCAAGCAAAUUGCAGGGGUGCAUGUGAAAGCAUUUCAUUUACAUUGUCAAAAUAAAAUAUGGGCGGCACGGCGGUCGAGUGGUUAGUGCGCAGACCUCACAGCUAGGAGACCAGGGUUCAAUUCCACCCGUGUGUGGAGUUUGCAUGUUCUCCCCGUGCAUGCAUGGGUUUUCUCCGGGUACUCCGGUUUCCUCCUACAUUCCAAAAACAUGCUAGGUUAAUUGGCGACUCCAAAUUAUCCAUAGGUAUGAAUGUGAGUGUGAAUGGUUGUUUGUCUAUAUGUGCCCUGUGAUUGGCUGGCAACCAGUCCAGAGUGUACCCCGCCUCUCGCCCGAAGACAGCUGGGAUAGGCUCCAGCACCCGCCGCGACCCUUGUGAGGAAAAAGCGGUAGAAAAUGAAUGAAUUAAUGAAAAUAAAAUAUACAAGGGUAGCGAUAAUUACAAAGAAGCAUGUUUAAAAGUACUAAUCACCUAAAAUGCAUGAAUGCUUCCAUCUGUGACGGCAUCCAUGAUGAGCAAGUAAAUGUGCACGCUGGUGCGUGUAUACAAAGGGAUUCUUUUUCCAUGGGAUGAGUGGCGGCGUGACACAAACACGCGGACACAUGAGCACCCUCGGGCCAGCAGACACUGAGUCCCCGCCUUCCACAUGCUCCCAGGCCGGUUUUAUGCAGUCACCCGACAGACGACACUUUCUGCGGUUCAAGGCGGUCUUCCUUCCACGCCAGUCUUUAAGAUCUACAGAUAUGAAAACAUAAAUGAGUGUGCUUAUAUGACG